GGGCUGAGCCGCUGCUGCUCCCCAGCGGGGUGGGUGCGGGGAGAGCCCUUCCCUAGCGCCGCUCUGCGCCCAGCCGGGGGGACUCUCUGCGGGGGCAGCCCCGGGCUCUGCCGCCACCAGCCCCUGAGCCGGAGCCUGCAGAUCAUCCCAUCCCCUUGAGAGACGGGGAAGGGAAAUGGCUGCAGCGGAGCUGGUGACCUUCAAGGAGGUGGCUGUGUAUUUCACUGAGGAGGAAUGGGCUCUGCUGGACCCAGGUCAGAGAUCCCUCUACAGGGACGUCAUGUGGGAGAAUUAGGAGACUGUGACCUCACUGGAUGGAAGCUCCCUUUGUACCAAAGUGCAAAGACCCUGGCGACACGAGUAACUUUGACAACUAUGAGGAGGAGGAGAUCCGGGUCUCAACCACUGAGGAGUACGCCAUGGAGUUUUCUGAGUUCUAGGACCAGCGGCCCCCCCAAGAAGGGUGCAUGCGGAGCGGGGGGGAGUUGGAUUUUGGUUUCAUAGAUAAAUUAAAUCUAUAUAGCCCUGUGGCUAGGUCUCCCCCCCAAAUCCCCCCUUUCCACAAAGAAGCUUGAGAGUCCCAUCUAGAGGGUGAGGAUAUCAUCCACCCCGCCCUGGGAAACACGUCUGUGUCCUCCAACAACACUUGUUUCACUGGAAAAAAACAAAAGAACCCCCCACCCCCACUUCCUACUUAACAGUGUGCUUUGUUGUUAACAUGUUUGAAACAAUUACCAAUAAAGUUUAAAAAAAAAAUCA